UGUGGUAUUUAAUGUCUUAUUAGAUUAAUAUUCAAAUUAUGAAUAAAUUUUGAUUUUGUUUUUAGUGUUUUGAAAGUAACGAUUAACUUUUUUUUUGAAUUUAAUGCCUUAAAUAAAUUUCAAAUAGUUUGAGUAAAGUAUAGUUAUCCAAUAGCAACGGCAAAGUGUUAUUAAUUAUAAAAAUGUCAACAAAUCACGACGAAAACUUAAAGGAUCCAUACGAAGUAGCAUGCAACUACCUUGAGAAAAAAGAAGUUAUUAAUCUGAUGCAGAUGUUGGCAUUUAAAAUAAUAAGUGAAAAACCUGAAGAUCCGCUUAUGUUCAUGAUUACAAAGUUAGAAGAAAGAAAAAGUUUGAAGAAAUUUGGAAUGAGUUGAAUAUGUAAUUUCUUCAAUUGAACUUAAAAGUCUUUCAA